ensembl:Y_RNA Y_RNA Y RNA
GGCUAGUCUAAAUGCAGUGGUGUUUAUAACUAAUUGAUCACAACCAGUUACAGAUUUCUUUGUUCUUUGUCCACUCCCACUGCUUCACUUAACUAGCCUUAA